UUGAAAGGGAAACGAUUGAAGUCAGUCAUGCCGACGGGAAUCAACUUAGAGGAAACUCUGGGUGCACUUCUUCGUUUGGCAGGUUAGUGUCGAUUUUGGAUGUCAUAAAAUAAUUGGGGGAAGGUAGCUCUUUCGGGAGUGUUAUAGCCCUUGGUAGAUGUGAUGUCUGGGAUCGAGGAUUGCAACGGAUACCUUUUGGGCUAGCCGUCUAGUCUCUAAUACGAAGUUGGGUUAUGGACAGCAUGCUGACUGUGAUCUGAUUUUCGGUUAAAAGAUUAGAGCAAGUGUAAAUUCGUUAAGGAUGUUGACGUA
rnacentral:rRNA from 1 species